GCUGGGUGUGGUGGUGGGCACCUGUAAUCCCAGCUACUCGGGAGGCUGAGGCAGGAGAAUCACUUGAACCCGGGAGGUGGAGGUUGCAGUGAGCCAAGACCGCACCACUGCACUGCAACCUGGGUAACAGAGUGAGACUCUGUCUCCA
rnacentral:SRP_RNA from 1 species